GACGAACGCUGGCGGCGUGCUUAACACAUGCAAGUCGAACGGUGAAGCUCCAGCUUGCUGGAGUGGAUCAGUGGCGAACGGGUGAGUAACACGUGAGCAACCUGCCCCUGACUCUGGAAUAAGCGCUGGAAACGGCGUCUAAUACUGGAUACGAGAAGGGUCCGCAUGGGCACUUUCUGGAAAGUUUUUCGGUUGGGGAUGGGCUCGCGGCCUAUCAGCUUGUUGGUGAGGUAAUGGCUCACCAAGGCGACGACGGGUAGCCGGCCUGAGAGGGCGAGCGACCACACUGGGACUGAGACACGGCCAAGACUCCUACGGGAGGCAGCAGUGGGGAAUAUUGCACGAGGGGCGAGAGCCUGAUGCAGAGACGCCGCGUGAGGGAGGACGGCCUUCGGGUUGUAAACCUCUUUCAGCAGGGAAGAAGCGAAAGUGACGGUACCUGCAGAAGAAGCACCGGCUAACUACGUG
rnacentral:rRNA from 1 species